CUAAUGCUGAUUAGUUUAAGCGAGUCAACACAUAGGACGGAAAGACCCUUUCAUAGUUUUCUCAAGGGGAGUGUACCGUGUGCGGGGCCAUAUCUCCGUUCCUUUGUAUGGUUGUUUAACAAUUUGUGAAAUGCUUGUAGUAUGAUAAUCUAGAUAGUGGGGAUAUGUUACAGAAAGUGUUGUGCCUGGCCUCACAUGUACAUGAGUUGGUUUAUCAUUAAGUGCUCUCUUUCCCACUAAAUUUCACAUCUGCCAUCUGAAAAAAAAACCACAUUUACCUGAUUUCAAGUUCUUAUGGACCUUAUGGUAAAGUAUUUAAGUAAUUUUAGUCGGCUCAAAAGGCUCCAAGAUUCUUUGUCUAUCAUUUCCUGUUCAAAACUGACAACAGAACUUUGUGAAGCCUUUCAGUUUGUCUUUUUUCAGUUACUUUACCACUCGGUCUUGAUGCCUGAACUAUGUGAACAUUGUCAGCUUAGUAAAAUGAUAUGAACUUGUGUGCCAUACACAUAGCAGGUCGAAAAACUACCAUUGUAUUUGCAUAUACUGCUUGUGACACAAUUUUCUGAAAACAUGUUGGUGGUCAUUGGUCAACAAAAGUUUUCAGCAUUCGGCACGGUGUUAAUAUUCUUGAAUUUAUUGUGCUUCUAGAAUUAUAGAUUUCCGAAUAAUUAGAUGGUCAGCUAUGCAAUAUAAUAUUCCCAUAGUAUUGAAAUAUUCUGUUCUGCAAAUAGUCCUUCAGCAAAUGGCGCUUACACUUAAUAUGGGAUACUCCAAAUCCAUAAGAGCAGGCUAUAUCUGAUAUUUUCUCCAUACAGAGUCGGCAGCGACUUGAUUUAUAUUUCCGCUACUUGUCAAUAUGAUGGCCCGUUGUAAAUAAAUGAGGCAUGGCCAUCACUUAUACUUGGGAACUACUUUUCAGUGAUAGCUGUAUUGACUAAGGGAACUACGGCGGGCUUAUGCCUACUGAACUAUAUUCGAAACUAUCAGAGUGUAUAGCAGAUUAGAGCAGAUUACAGCAGCUUUAAAGAUUGUUGGCCAUUAACGGUUAUCCAUGGCACUAAAACUACUUGAUCUCAAUACAUUCACCUCACAACACUUGUUGGCGAAAACAUGUGCUAUAGCACCAAAGUAGUUGAGGUCAAAUUAAUGAGGUGAUAGCUAAACUCCUUAAACUGGAUAUAUUUGUGUUUUGUUUGCUUCAAGUAUAUAGACAUAUAUUCCUUGAUCAAAACUCAUUGACACUGCUACCACUAAUUUGCUUCAGGUCAUCGACUUGAAGAUUGAUAAAUAUGGUUCUGUUAUUAUGCAGGAGUUGUGUGAUUUGAGGAGAAACUAUUCUCUUGCAAAUCGGAUAAUUGUUGUAGGAAUUAAAAGGCACACGAUUGUACUAUUGUUCUGGGAUUUCGUUUCUUACGUUCCUCGACCCUAAUGUCUACAUGAGGUGUGAGUUCAACGGAUACAGGAAAUCACAUUACUAAUAGAAUGAUGCCGCACCAAAGAAAAUGCUCUCAGCCUUGGACGAUCCAUUCACUCGAUUCUUGAAACCAUUACCUUUUCUGAAGCAAGACUAGCUAGCACCCAAGGUGCCCUGGCAGGUGUACGUUUAUCCAUUGGCUACCCGUUGGAGCAUCACUUGCGGUGCUCUUUGUAAUGUCACUUGGUGGGUUUUGCAGAAAUGACUGUCUAGAGACGUUUUAUCUUGAUAAUUGACAACAUAAGAGUGCAAAAUAUUUGACAGCAGAUCGCUUAUGGGGUCAUCAAGGAAACUCAAUAAAUGGCUAUUUCAGUGGAGAUUAUACCAAAGAUGUUGUUUUGAAAGUAUAUGCCAGGAGAGAAAGAUAUACUUGAAACCCGAUGAGGUCAAUGAUGUGGAGAUUUUACCAGAGAUGUUGUUUUCAAGUAAGAUUUUGUGUGAGAUUAUACCGAUCG